CUACGGGGCGCUGCAGUGAGGAAUAUUGCACAAUGGGGGAAACCCUGACGCAGCAACGCCGCGUGAGUGAAGAAGGCUUUCGGGUCGUAAAGCUCUGUCAGAUAGGAAAAAAGUUCAUAUGUAAAUAGCUUAUGAAUCUGAUGGUACUAUCAGAGGAAGCACCGGCUAACUCCGUGCCAGCAGCCGCGGUAAUACGGAGGGUGCAAGCGUUGUUCGGAAUUACUGGGCGUAAAGGGCGUGUAGGCGGUAUGGUAAGUCAGAUGUGAAAGCCCUGGGCUUAACUCAGGAAGUGCAUUUGAUACUGCCAUCCUUGAGUAUGGGAGAGGAGAGUAGAAUUCCCAGUGUAGAGGUGAAAUUCGUAGAUAUUGGGAGGAAUACCCGUGGCGAAGGCGACUCUCUGGACCAAUACUGACGCUGAGACGCGAAAGCGUGGGGAGCAAACAGGAUUAGAUACCCCCGUAGUC
rnacentral:rRNA from 1 species